rnacentral:rRNA from 1 species
GACGAACGCUGGCGGCGUGCUUAACACAUGCAAGUCGAACGGUAAGGCCCUUCGGGGUACACGAGUGGCGAACGGGUGAGUAACACGUGGGUGAUCUACCCUGCACUUCGGGAUAAGCCUGGGAAACUGGGUCUAAUACCGGAUAGGACCACUGCCCGCAUGGGUGGUGGUGGAAAGCUUUUGCGGUGUGGGAUGGGCCCGGGGCCUAUCAGCUUGUUGGUGGGUGAUGGCCUAACAAGGCGACGACGGGUAGGCGGCCUGAGAGGGUGACCGGCCACACUGGGACUGAGAUACGGCCCAGACUCCUACGGGAGGCAGGAGUGGGGAAUAUUGCACAAGGGGCGCAAGCCUGAUGCAGCGACGCUGCGUGGGGGAUGACGGCCUUCGGGUUGUAAACCUCUUUCAGCGCCGACGAAGCGCAAGUGACGGUAGGUGCAGAAGAAGGACCGGCCAACUACGUGCCAGCAGCCGCGGUAA